AUGUUGAAACACCGGUUUCAGUACGAUCACCGAAGUUAAGCAACGUCGAGCUUGGUCAGUAGUAUUUAGAUGGUGACCGCUUGGGAAUACCAAGUGUUGUAAGC